CGGGGCGUAGCUCAGCCUGGUUAGAGCGCUGCCUUUGGGAGGCAGAGGGCGCGAGUUCGAAUCUCGCCGCCCCGACUA
rnacentral:tRNA from 1 species